rnacentral:rRNA from 1 species
AUUGAACGCUGGCGGCAGGCUUAACACAUGCAAGUCGAGCGAGCGGCGGACGGGUGAGUAAUGUCUGGGAAACUGCCUGAUGGAGGGGGAUAACUACUGGAAACGGUAGCUAAUACCGCAUACCAUCAGAUGUGCCCAGAUGGGAUUAUCUAGUAGGUGGGGUAAUGGCUCACCUAGGCGACGAUCCCUCGCUGGUCUGAGAGGAUGACCAGCCAAACUGGAACUGAGACACGGUCCAGACUCCUAGGGGAGGCAGCAGUGGGGAAUAUUGCACAAGGGGCGCAAGCCUGAUGCAGACAUGCCGCGUGUAUGAAGAAGGCCUUCGGGUUGUAAAGUACUUUCAGCGGGGAGGCGGGACCCGAAGAAGAAGCACCGGCUAACUCCGUGCCAGCAGCCGCGGUAAUAG